AUUGAACGCUGGCGGCAGGCUUAACACAUGCAAGUCGAGCGAGCGGCGGACGGGUGAGUAAUUUCUGGGAAACUGCCUGAUGGAGGGGGCUAACUACUGGAAACGGUAGCUACUACCGCAUACCAUCAGAUGUGCCCAGAUGGGAUUAGCUAGUAGGUGGUGUAAUGGCUCACCUAGGCGACGAUCCAUAGCUGGUCUGAGAGGUGGACAAGCCACACGGGAACGGAGACACGGUCCAGACUCCUACGGGAGGCAGCAGUGGGGAAUAUGGCACAAUGGGCGCAAGCCUGAUGGAGCCAGGCCGCGUGAGUGAAGAAGGCCUUCGGGUUGUAAAGCACUGUCAGCGAGGAGGCGUUACUCGCAGAAGAAGCACCGGCUAACUACGUGCCAGCAGCCGCGGUAAUAC
rnacentral:rRNA from 1 species